rnacentral:rRNA from 1 species
UUUUCAGCAGCCGCGGUAAUACGGAGGGGGCCAGCGUUGUUCGGAAUCAUUGGGCGUAAAGGGCGCGUAGGCUGCUGUGCAAGUCGGAGGUGAAAGCCCUCGGCUCAACUGAGGAAUUGCCUUUGAUACUGCACGGCUUGAGUCCCGGAGAGGGUAGCGGAAUUCCCAGUGUAGCGGUGAAAUGCGUAGAUAUUGGGAGGAACAUCGGUGGCGAAGGCGGCUACCUGGACGGCGACUGACGCUGAGGCGCGAAAGCGUGGGGAGCAAACAGGAUUAGAUACCCUCGUAGUCC